rnacentral:rRNA from 1 species
UUUAUGGAGAGUUUGAUCCUGGCUCAGGAUGAACGCUGGCGGCGUGCCUAAUACAUGCAAGUCGAGCGAACGGACGAGAAGCUUGCUUCUCUGAUGUUAGCGGCGGACGGGUGAGUAACACGUGGAUAACCUACCUAUAAGACUGGGAUAACUUCGGGAAACCGGAGCUAAUACCGGAUGAUAUUUUGAACCGCAUGGU